rnacentral:rRNA from 1 species
AUUGAACGCUGGCGGCAGGCUUAACACAUGCAAGUCGAGCGGAGAGAGGUAGCUUGCUACUGAUCUUAGCGGCGGACGGGUGAGUAAUGCUUAGGAAUCUGCCUAUUAGUGGGGGACAACAUUUCGAAAGGAAUGCUAAUACCGCAUACGUCCUACGGGAGAAAGCAGGGGAUCUUCGGACCUUGCGCUAAUAGAUGAGCCUAAGUCGGAUUAGCUCGUUGGUGGGGUAAAGGCCUACCAAGGCGACGAUCUGUAGCGGGUCUGAGAGGAUGGUCCGCCCCACUGGGACGAGUAAACGGCCCAGACGCCUACGGGAGGCAGCAGUGGGGAAUAUUGGACACUGGGCGCAAGCCUGAUCCAGCCAUGCAGCGUGUGUUAAGAAGGCCUUAUGGUUGUAAAGCACUUUAAGCGAGGAGGAGGCUACUUUAGUUAAUACCUAGAGAUAGUGGACGUUACUCGCAGAGUAAGCACCGACUAACUCUGAGCCAGCCGCCGCCGUAAAAC